AUGUUCCUAGUUUUGCUCAUGUUCCUCGACCCGUGCAACUCAUUUCAGGUGGUUAGUUUGUCGACUCUGGUUGUAUGGUCAUUCUUGACUUUACCUCUUGUUUUGAUUAGGAUCCUCACACAGAUGGUUUACUUGUUGUGGGCCCCUCGGCGCUAUAACUACCAGGCCCUCUAUGAGCUUGACUGGCUUCACCUUCCCUCUGAUGACACCGUCGCCAGUCUCUCCACCUCUCCUCGUCUACCAACUCUUUGUGGCAUCAUCCAUCGUCUUGGUCACUCAUGUGGCUCUCGUCUGUCAUCCUUAGUUCGAUGUGGCCUUCUUGCAUAUGUCUCUAGAGGUGUGUCUUUAGACUAUCAGGUUUGUCGGCUUUGCAAACAGGUUCAGUUACCUUUCCUUCGAAUUAAUCCAAACCAUCCUCCCAUGAUGAUCUUUGUACUCAUAACAUUCUUGGGGAGGGACACCAAAAUCACCUAUGUCUAA
rnacentral:rRNA from 1 species